CAGUGCUGCUGUGAACAUUGGGGUGCAUGUAUCUUUUUGAAUUAGAGUUUUUGUCUUUUCCAGAUAUAUGCCCAGGAGUGGAAUUGCUGGAUCAUAUGAUGAAAUGAUAAUGAUGUGUGGGCCUUGCUGCAAAAUAAUACAGAAUGGAGAAAAUGGAAACAUAGAAGAAAGAAGACUGAUCAUGAGUUGACAAUUGUUGAAGAGAUGGAUUCUAAAUUAAAAGCAAUUCAAACUUCUGUGAUCAUUUUCUCUUACCCAAAGGAUCAGGACAAGCACAGUGAGGCCAACUGUAAGUAUCAGUCCCUUAAACAGUCUAGAGUUCCCAGGUGAGAG